CGGAGGGUGCAAACGUUGCUCGGAAUUAUUGGGCGUAAAGCGCACGUAGGCGGACCAUCAAGUCGGAUGUGAAAUCCCUCGGCUUAACCGAGGACGUGCAUUCGAAACUGAUGGCCUUGAGUACGAAAGAGGAUCGCGGAAUUCCCGGUGUAGAGGUGAAAUUCGUAGAUAUUAGGAAGAACACCAGUGGCGAAGGCGGCUCACUGGCCCGGUACUGACGCUGAGGCGCGAAAGCGUGGGGAGCAAACAGGAGUU
rnacentral:rRNA from 1 species